GGGCCCGUAGCUCAGCUCGGACAGAGCAACCGGCUUCUAAGAACCGUAGCACCCAAUUGCAGGUUCAGAGACACCGGUAGGUCGAGGGUUCAAAUCCCCCCGGGUCCG
rnacentral:tRNA from 1 species